rnacentral:rRNA from 1 species
GACGAACGCUGGCGGCGUGCUUAACACAUGCAAGUCGAACGGAAAGGCCCUGCUUGCCGGGUGCUCGAGUGGCGAACGGGUGAGUAACACGUGAGUGAUCUGCCCCUUACUUUGGGAUAAGCCUGGGAAACUGGGUCUAAUACUGGAUAGGACCAUGCUGUAGGUGGUGUGGUGGAAAGAUUAGUUUCGGUAAGGGAUGAGCUCGCGGCCUAUCAGCUUGUUGGUGGGGUAAUGGCCUACCAAGGCGUCGACGGGUAGCCGGCCUGAGAGGGUGGACGGCCACAUUGGGACUGAGAUACGGCCCAGACUCCUACGGGAGGCAGCAGUGGGGAAUAGUGCACAAUGGGCGCAAGCCUGAUGCAGCGACGCCGCGUGGGGGAUGACGGCCUUCGGGUUGUAAACUCCUUUCAGCCAUGACGAAGCCCUUGUGGUGGCGGUAGUGGUAGAAGAAGCACCGGCUAACUACGUG